UACGAAGGGGGCUAGCGUUGCUCGGAAUCACUGGGCGUAAAGGGCGCGUAGGCGGCUUGACAAGUCACUUGUGAAAUCUCCGGGCUUAACUCGGAACGGCCAAGUGAAACUGUCAUGCUAGAGUGCAGAAGGGGGAAUCGGAAUUCUUGGUGUAGCGGUGAAAUGCGUAGAUAUCAAGAGGAACACCUGAGGUGAAGACGGGUUGCUGGGCUGACACUGACGCUGAGGCGCGAAAGCCAGGGGAGCAAACGGG
rnacentral:rRNA from 1 species